UACAGAGGGUGCAAGCGUUGUUCGGAAUUAUUGGGCGUAAAGCGCGUGUAGGCGGCUUUGCAAGUCGGGUGUGAAAGCCCUCAGCUCAACUGAGGAAGUGCGCCCGAAACUGCAAAGCUUGAGUGCCGGAGAGGAUGGCGGAAUUCCCGAAGUAGAGGUGAAAUUCGUAGAUAUCGGGAGGAACACCGGUGGCGAAGGCGGCCAUCUGGACAGUAACUGACGCUGAGACGCGAAAGCGUGGGUAGCAAACAGG
rnacentral:rRNA from 1 species